rnacentral:misc_RNA from 1 species
AAGUCGUAACAAGGUCUCCGUUGGUGAACCAGCGGAGGGAUCAUUACUGAGUAUCUUACUCUCUACCCUUUGUGAACCUUUAUACCUGUUGCUUCGGCGGCGCGCCCCCCGGGGCGUGCCCGCCGGUAUCAUCAGAAUCUCUGUUUGAACCCGACGAUACAUCUGAGUGUUCUAAGCGAACUGUUAAAACUUUCAACAACGGAUCUCUUGGCUCCA